AGUAACACGUGGGUAACCUGCCCAAGAGAUCGGGAUAACACCUGGAAACAGAUGCUAAUACCGGAUAAAAGCUACUUUCGCAUGAAAGAAGUUUAAAAGGCGGCGUAAGCUGUCGCUAAAGGAUGGACCUGCGAUGCAUUAGCUAGUUGGUAAGGUAACGGCUUACCAAGGCGAUGAUGCAUAGCCGAGUUGAGAGACUGAUCGGCCACAUUGGGACUGAGACACGGCCCAAACUCCUACGGGAGGCAGCAGCC
rnacentral:rRNA from 1 species